GUGGUACAGCAAAACUGACUGUAAGAGGACAAGACACAGGCAGUGCUGACCCUGGAAAAGCCACUGGGGACCAUCCAGCUAAACCUGGUCUUCUCAGAGUGAAGAAACCAAGACCAGGGGAAUGAAGCCACCAAAGUUUUCCAGUUCAAGAACACUAACGUGAUUAAUGUCCAAGAUGAAACAAAACCCAAGCUCUCUGUCCUUUUGUGGCCAAGAGUUAUUUGCAGAAUCCUUUGAACACAAAAGGAAUAUGUCCUGAUGCUUACCAUAUGAAUGCCUCAUGUGAAAGAAUAAGUUGGUAAAAGUAAUUCAAGUUACUUGGAAUCUUGAGAAUAUAAUAAAUUACCUGAAAAUGUAAAUGGUUAUAACUUCAGCCUCAGUCACAGCUGGCAAAGCAUGACUUUAAACAAAGGGUUGCUCUGAAGGAUUCCAUAUAAUGAUAUAUGCCAAAUGUAGAGUCCAGAGCCUGUAACACAAGAAAAUGAGAAGACUAAGACACUAAUAAAGAUGUGAAGGACUUUGAUGAUCUCCCACGGGAGUUCUCACCCUCUCUGAGAAGUGGAUGGGUGUGGGAUAGUGAGAUAGUGUGGGAAAUGAGAAGGACUGGAGGGAGAAGGAACUGGGAUUGGUAUGUAAAAUAAGAUUGUUUUCACUUAAAUUUAAAAAUUAAUUUAAAAAUCUAGAAAAAGACUCUAAUGAAGCAAAUAUUUCUAAGUGCUAUUUUUAUGCCAUAAUGUCUUUGUUAUCUUCAGUAAGAUUGCAUCUUUCCACAAAACUUUAUAUAAGCAUGGGGGCUACUAUGGUUACUGCUCCCUCCAUGCUUGGAGUAAAUGUUCAGCUCAAGGAAAUGGGUAAACAUUUGGAUAACAAAAAUGCUAUAGAGUAUCAGCAAAGGGAGAGCCUUCAAUGGACAAGCAGUAGUAUCUGCAAUUAGAGCAGAGGAAUAAUCUAGACAAUGAUUUGACCUAGUACUGGAAAUGAAUAAACACUAUUGAAAAUAAACAAGGUAAUUCUGAAAGUAAUGUGUUUCCAUUUCAAUUGAUGCACUCCUCACUAAUAAUGAUAAUAUUGUCAAAAGAUUAUUUUACAAAGCAACAGC